rnacentral:rRNA from 1 species
AUUGAACGCUGGCGGCAUGCCUUACACAUGCAAGUCGAACGGCAGCGGACCUUCGGGCGCCGGCGAGUGGCGAACGGGUGAGUAAUAUAUCGGAACGUACCUUUCAGUGGGGGAUAACGUAGCGAAAGUUACGCUAAUACCGCAUAUUCUGUGAGCAGGAAAGCAGGGGAUCGCAAGACCUUGCGCUGAUUGAGCGGCCGAUAUCAGAUUAGCUAGUUGGUGAGGUAAAGGCUCACCAAGGCGACGAUCUGUAGCGGGUCUGAGAGGAUGAUCCGCCACACUGGAACUGAGACACGGUCCAGACUCCUACGGGAGGCAGCAGUGGGGAAUUUUGGACAAUGGGCGCAAGCCUGAUCCAGCCAUGCCGCGUGAGUGAAGAAGGCCU